rnacentral:SRP_RNA from 1 species
AACCCAGCCCCGUGCGGCGAAGGCCCGCAAACCCCGCCAGGGCCGGAAGGAAGCAACGGUAAGCGGAUCCCAUCGGGUGCCACGGCAAGUUGGGUUUCC